UACGAAGGGGGGCUAGCGUUGCUCGGAAUUACUGGGCGUAAAGCGCACGUAGGCGGCUUCUUAAGUCGGUGGUGAAAUCCUGGAGCUCAACUCCAGAACUGCCUUCGAUACUGGGAGCUCGAGUCCGGGAGAGGUGAGUGGAACUGCGAGUGUAGAGGUGAAAUUCGUAGAUAUUCGCAAGAACACCAGUGGCGAAGGCGGCUCACUGGCCCGGUACUGACGCUGAGGUGCGAAAGCGUGGGGAGCAAACAGG
rnacentral:rRNA from 1 species